GAUCCUCUUGCCUUGGCCUCCCAGAGUGUUAGGGUUACAGGCCUGAGCCACCGCACCUGGCCACUAUCAUCAGCAUUUUAAGUGUAGCCUUCUGUGGCACUUAGCACACUCACAUCCACCGCCACCAUCCAUCUCCAGAGCUCUAUUCAUCUUCCCAACCUGAAACUCUACCUGUUGAACAGUAACUCCCAUUCCUGUCUCCCCCCACCCAGCACCUGGCAACCUCUCAUCCACUUUGUCUCUAUGAAUUUGACUACUCUAGACGGCUCAUGUAAGUGGAAUCAUCCACCACUUGUCCUUUGCAUCUGCUUGUUUCACUUGGCAUAAUGUAGCCAGGUUCAUCUGUGUUGCCAGCACGGGGCAGGACAUCACUCCUCCUUAGGGCUGCAUCAUGCUCCGUGGUACCUGCAGACCACAUCUCACCCUUCCAUUCUCCUGCUGAUGAUCACUUGGCUGCUUCCACCUCUUGGCUACUACUGUGAGUAACGCUGCUAUGAACAUGGGUACAGAAAUAUCUCGCUGAGACUAGACAAUACAUUUUAUCUUGGCCAGUGGACUGCACCCCUGGGAAGCGCGGUCUGUGCCUAGUGCUUGGCAGGCGCCCUCCAAGUAAGGGCACAGAAGAGGAAGAAAGAGGAAUGAAGGCUGGUGCAGGGCAGGAGGAGGGAGCUCACGCACACUGGGCAAGGUCACUCUGUGACCAUGAGGAAGUGAGUCAAGGUCAAAGGCAACACCACUCAGCAGCUGUCCUGAGCACUGCGUCUCCGGGCCAUCCGCAUCCUGGGCCACUGCUGCAUCCCCCCAAUCACAGCUGCAGUGUCAACCCAACUGUGUGGGCAUGGCCCUGGGGCUCUGACGGGCAUCAACACAACAGGUGGAGAGCGAGGGCUGGAGAAGACUCGGGAGCCGGGCACUUCCCUUUCCAUCACAGCAACCGCUGAUGACACAGAAAAAACCUAACUGGUACAUCAGCGUGUGGCCGCCUGGAUACGAGGCUCAGCACAAGACCGAAGUUGGAAGUGAGGGGAAAACACA